GACGAACGCUGGCGGCGUGCUUAACACAUGCAAGUCGAACGGAAAGGCCCUGCUUUUGUGGGGUGCUCGAGUGGCGAACGGGUGAGUAACACGUGAGUAACCUGCCCUUGACUUUGGGAUAACUUCAGGAAACUGGGGCUAAUACCGGAUAGGAGCUCCUGCUGCAUGGUGGGGGUUGGAAAGUUUCGGCGGUUGGGGAUGGACUCGCGGCUUAUCAGCUUGUUGGUGGGGUAGUGGCUUACCAAGGCAUUGACGGGUAGCCGGCCUGAGAGGGUGACCGGCCACAUUGGGACUGAGAUACGGCCCAGACUCCUACGGGAGGCAGCAGUGGGGAAUAUUGCACAAUGGGCGGAAGCCUGAUGCAGCAACGCCGCGUGCGGGAUGACGGCCUCCGGGUUGUAAACCGCUUUCGCCUGUGACGAAGCGUGAGUGACGGUAAUGGGUAAAGAAGCACCGGCUAACUACGUG
rnacentral:rRNA from 1 species